rnacentral:lncRNA from 1 species
CCCCCGGCCACUGGCUCAAGACCGUCGGCACGGUCCAUCUGAGCAGCACCCACCGUGCGCUGGCCCAGCGCUGGACAAAGGAGGCAUCGAUGUCACCCGGGGCUCACGGAGACCCAGCAGAAAGCCCUGGCCACGCCCGGAACACCCGGCCCUGCUCUCCACCCAGGCAACUCCUGUUGGCCAGCACUCCCCAGACCAGCGCCACCUCCUCUAAGACGCCUCCUCUGCCUCCCCUCCCCCAGGCGGUUCUGGGGGCUUCUGUCUUUCCUUGCGUUCAAGACGCACCAGGAUCCGAAGCAUCAACCACAAGGAACGAACAACACCCCGAUUACACCACCGUAACACGAGACUUUGUUCAGGAUCUCGCUAAAUUGCUAAGCUGCCUGGGCUGAGCUGGAAUUUGCGGUCCUCCUGCCUCAGCCUCCCAGAGUGCAGGGAUGACAGCUGUGUGCUACCGUGCCUGGCUUUUUUCUACUUCUUCCAACUCAGAUUUCUAAACACAUUUCUCCUGAGCUUCCUAACAAGAGGGAAUCGUUAAGGAAGAUCCCCAGCCCGUGUUUUCUGUGUUCCAGGGCCAGCUUUUCCAAGUCACCUUUUGCCCCAGAGUUCUGCCCACAGCACUGUUCCCCAUUAUGGGGGGUGGGGUGGGGUGGGUGAUGGUUGAUGUUGUCUCCCCUGGGUACCAGGAUUUUCCUCCCAGGUGCUCUGAGGGAUCCACGGAGCUCCUCUUUAGCCUCACACAGUCCAGCAACGUUUGCUGACUGACACUCUGUGAGCCACACCUCCCUAGCUCCGUCCUACCCCAGGGCCUUUGGACAGCUGGGCUCUCUGGCUGGAACCCUGCUCCAUACAUUCACUGGGCUCCUCCUCACCUGCAUGUGCGUGUCCCUCCACUGUCACCUCUGCUGUGACCUUGUCCCACAGCCUCUCAAUGACAACACUCACCCCUCACUCCGAGUCCCCUUUCUCACGGUUUUCAG